rnacentral:rRNA from 1 species
UACGUAGGGGCGAAGCGUUACUACCGGACUUUAACUACGGGUGGGUAAAGGGUAGGCGUAGCCGGAAAUAAAAGUACAGAUGUGAAAGCCCCGAGGCUCAACUUCGGGACUGCAUUUGAAACUCUAUUUCUAGAGUGCAGGAGAGGAAAGUGGAAUUCCUAGUGUAGCGGUGAAAUGCGUAGAUAUUAGGAGGAACACCAGUGGCGAAGGCGACUUUCUGGACUGUAACUGACGGUGAGGCACGAAAGCGUGGGGAGCAAACAGGAUUAGAUACCCCCCGUAGU